UGGCGUCCGGCUGCUCUGCGUUCCGGGCUGCUCCGCGUUCCUGGCUUCCGAAGGGCCGCGUAUCUGAAGGUGCUGCAGGGAGGGCCGGGUUGGAGGUAGACACCGGGUUGGAGGGUUAGAUGGAUCCCCGCGAGGAGCCCGGAUAUGGCGAAGGGAGGAGUGAGGACGUGUUUCCGAGGCCAGGGACCCUCUGGAUAUCACCUCCCCGGCUCCGCCUGUUGGAGACGUCCAAGCCUCUUUUUCUGCCCAGCUAGUGGAAAGGCGAGGGAGUUGGGGAACCGGGUACUAAGCAAAAGGAUUUGAAGUUUGCGCAGCCCGCGUUGCUCAGUGGUUGAUCAUCGAUCUAUGAGCCAGGUUUGAUUCCGGAUAGGAAACAUUUGGGGGUGGCGGGCUCCAUCUCCGGUGGGGGCUGUGCAGGAGGCAGCGGAUCAAUGAUCCUCUCAGCAACGCCUGUGCGUCCUGACCGGGGAUGGAACUAGAAACCUCGGCGUGUGCCCUGCCUGUGAAUCCAGCCGAUGUCCUUCCGGUUCACCGGAGGACGCUCCAACCAACGGAGCCACACCGGCCAGGGCAAGUUAUUCUUCAAGAUCUGCCAAAGCGUAGUCAUUGCAAAAGUCUUCAGAAUAAGCCUCAUACUGCUUACUUGCAGGACGUUCAGUCUACCCUAACAAUGUAGCUAUGUCGUUAAUAACUCUCUCAUCUUCACAGAAUCCACUAUUCAUUGUUAUAACUUGUAACAUGGAAGGAGAAACAUUUUAGCCUGGAACUGAAAGGAGGGGCAAGUGGUAUGGUCGGACUGCAAUUUUUGUACCACAAGCCCAUCAACUAGCUUGUCAGUGUCUGCUUCAGGCUCAGGAACCUUUGGCUGUAUCUUCCAAGGAAUGUAAUUUCUUUCUUUUGUGAUGGUUAAUGGUUUUGGAACAGAAACAAAGAAGUCUGGAUUGAGGAGUCCCUAGAAGUAGAGUUCUCCAAGUAGAACACUUCUCAAAAAUUAAUACAUAGCCCGCUGGCAUCUAAAAUAACUGCAUCUUUAACAGAAUCACUUGUGUUUUUACUAAGUGCCUAAGGUGUUUCUGAUGCAUACAACAUUUGGGAACCUUUUGGACACAUGUAGGGUGACAAAGUGUCCUAGUUUAUCUGGGACUGGGGGUUUCUCAGGAUGCAGGGCUUUAUAAGUGCUAAGCCAGGGCAGUCCUGGGCAAACUGUUGAUCAUCCUAGAUACAUGUGAGUCUAUACUAUUAGAAAGACUAUCUUGGUGCAGUUUCGCAUCCUGGGUUGCCCUAUUUCUGUUUGCAGGAUUUGUUUCUAUUAGGAGUGGUGGUGGUGGUGGUGGUGGUGGUGGUGGUGACCACGGAAAAGGGAUGAAAAUGAGGUGCGUUGCCAAUUCUUACUGAUUCUCAGGUCCAAACCCAUCCUUCACUGACCUGCUCGCAGUACUGGCACGACUCCUUUUCCAUUUGGCCGGGUGUUCAGUUCCAUCGGUAGAGGUGCUGGAGGGACAUACUAGGAGAGGAGGAAAGGGCUCUUCCUGAUUCCAGUAUGCGGUCUCAGCUGGCUUUUCAAUGCAUGACAACUGUCUGUGGGCUGAAUUUCAGUGUUAGAUGAAUUUAUAGCCUUGUUAAGUUUCUCUUGUGAGGCUGAGGUAUUGAUUGGGGAGGAAUGGGAUCCCCAAACUUGAAAUAGGCACUUCUGCGUGGGCCUGGAUGAAAGUGACGAUUUUGAACACCAGGUCAUCCUGUGCCUUGUUUGGCAGUGGAAGUACCUUGCCCUCCUUUAUCUGGGGACACUUGAAAACCCUGUGAAACCCUCACCUGGAGCAGAUGACUUGAAAAAUACAGCAUACGUCUGUGCUUCCUGACAGGUGAGAGUGCUUCUGGCUUUGUGCGUUCCUUUGUAUUCUGCCUUGACCUAGAGGUAGACCAGCCUUGAGGUACUUUUAAGUGGCUGCUCUCUCUAUCCACUAUGUCAGUAUUUUUAGUUUUCCUUUUCCCUUGGAGGUAAUUUCUUAUUAUAGUGAGUAAUUCUUUGUUUUAUUCCUGUUUGAAUUACUAUAUGGUUUCUGUCUAUUUGAGUAUGACCAUGAUAUCAGGGCUAGCAAGGGACUGCCCCAAGGUCUGCCUUAAACUGUAAGUAACUGGUUUGCCUCUGAUUUGGGCCCUUUGUUCUAGUGCCACUCUUGGGUUUCUUUAGCUGAGACCUCCCUCCUGAAGUCCCAGUAGGUUUUGCUGGCCCAGUUGCCUUGCCUCUCCUCUGAAACCAGUAUCAAGGUAUCUUUUGAUUUAUUCCUUGAUUGUUUUUUCUUUUUAUUAUUGAUUUUUUUACAGAGAGGAAGGGAGAGAGAUAGUUAGAAACAUUGAUGAGAGAGAAACAUCUGCAGAGUCACUGGAGGAAUGCGUAUAAAAACGCAAGAUUCCAGGCCCCAUCAAGAUUCUGAGUCAAGAGGUCUGGGGCAGAACCCAGCAUCUGGCAUUUUUAACAGUGCCUGGUUUCAAUUUGUAAGAACAUUAAAGAGUUCUGCCUUUUCCAGGUGAUCCAUUUUCUACUCAACAGUUAUCUCCUCCCCUGGAUGGCAAAACUGAUCAAUAUUUUAUGUGUUGGUAGCUCUUAGAAACGACUCUGGGCGAGUCACACCCUACAGCCUACUUUCAGUUGCCUGUUUUCACAGCAGACUCUUGCCCAGUGUUCCGUCUGAAUCAUGUGCCACUUGUGGAGCGCCUGAUGCUGAAUUCCUGAGAACAUCCAAUCCAAGGAAAAUCAUGGCACAUCAAGCUAAUAGCUGUCAGCCAAGGUGUUGCAGAGGGAAAUUCCCAGCCCAUGUCUCCCGGCCCCAGGCUCAGCGGUUCCCAGCUUGAGGAAGGAGGGUGGGACAGGAACCUGCCAACUCGGCAGCGUGUUUGUGUGCAGGCUUUCAAGACUUGGCCAAUUUUAAACAACUCAGAGAGAGGAUGCUUCCCAGACUCCACUCAGGAACUCCUCCUGCUCCUUGCCCAGCACGACUGCAGAUGCUGCCAGAGAUAAAGUCUCCCAGAAACCACGGUGUAAACCACGUUGAGGCACAAUUAAAGAACAACAUACUUGGAUGUGGAAUUGUAGAUAGCAGACAAAAAUCUGGGACGGGAGAGAUCACUAGCGGUUACAGUCAUCAACAAAGGCUUUAUGGGUAACAGAGAAUUUUGCCAAGGCUCUAAAAUAUUUGACAUUUGAAAGCCCAAAGGUAUUCUGAUAGUUAUAUUACCCUGAAAAAAGAGCGGGCAAAGUUUAUCUACGCAUUCUUAAUUAUAAAAAAUAGCAAAUACAAAUACUACUUAACAUUUAUUGAGUGCCUUGUUUGCCAAAUGCUGUUCUAAUUAUUUACAUGCUGAUCUGAUUUUCAAAAGACUUUAUGAUGUAGAUGUAUAAAUAUUAGUCUCCAUUUACAAAGGGUUAAACUGAACUAUGAUGCUACAUGAUGCCAUCACACCACUGCAAAUACAUGGCAGAGUGAACGCUAAUUAGGAAAGACAGGACUAUUCCUGGAAUGAUAUAUGGAGCCAUCUCCUGGGACCACAUUGCUGGUGGUUUUAUUUUGUGUGUGUGUGUGUGUGUGUGUGUGUUUCAAUGACUUCAAAAGUGAAGGAUUGGUAGCAACAUAAUAUGGUAUGGAAUAUAGGCAUUCUCUGUACUUUCUGCUAGAUUUUCUUGUAAAUCUAAAACAAAAGUUAAAUAUACAGUCUAUU